rnacentral:lncRNA from 1 species
UGGGUGUGAGAGGUCAUGAGUUUGAAUCCCACUUUUAGAUUUUUUUCUCUUUUAUUUGUUUUUUCUUUAUUUUUAACUUUUCUAUUUAUUUUCAAAACUACAAAAUAAUCACAAAAAUUACAUUUUUCAUUUAUUUUUAAGGAUUAAUUACUAUGCACUGUCAGUGUAAAUUUACACUGUCGAUUCAUCAUCAUCACCCGUUUGCAUUACUUUAUAGAUUUUUAAAAUAAAAGUCAAACUUAUUUCAAUAUCCAACGUCUAGGAUUAACUGACGGUGUAAAAUCCCUUUACGUGUAUUUCAAUUAAAU